rnacentral:rRNA from 1 species
CCACGCCGUAAACGAUGAGCACUAGGUGUCGGUCUCGCAAGAGAUCGGUGCCGUAGUUAACGCAUUAAGUGCUCCGCCUGGGGAGUACGCACGCAAGUGUGAAACUCAAAGGAAUUGACGGGGACCCGCACAAGCAGCGGAGCAUGUGGUUUAAUUCGAAGCAACGCGAAGAACCUUACCAGGACUUGACAUCCCACUGACAGCUCUUUAAUAGGAGCCUUCUUCGGACAGUGGAGACAGGUGGUGCAUGGUUGU